rnacentral:lncRNA from 1 species
CCCGCCCGCGCCUGGCCCGCUCGCCGGCGCCGGGAGAGACCUCGUAACGGAACUGGGACGCCAGCGCUGCAUUGUGGGAGCUUUUAAAGCGGCGGGGAGCUCGGCGCGACCCUCGGGCCCACCGGGCCACGCUCGCCCGGCCCGCGACGCCCCCCCGCUGUCGCCUGGCCCGCGACGCACCGAGGCCUGAGGACCCGAAAGCCGGGCGCGGGGAGAUGACCGGUGGCUCGUGACGGUCCCACGGGCAAAAUCUUCCAUCGCCCGGGGCUGAGACUUGUCAAACUGCCCUCUACGGUCACCCGGAAAGUAGGAGGCUUUUUCUGCAGAGGGAAAAAAAUCAAAAAGAGCCGUUCCAUCCCCCCUCCAAGGACUGGGUUUGAAUUGCUUUUCAUCUGCAGUGGCUGUGAUUCAGCGUCCCUCUUAGCAGCAGGCACUGACAGAGGCAGGAGAGGAAAAAAGAAAGAAAGAAAGAGAAAACACAGCAAAUGAAUCAAACGGACGUAGCAGGCAAGAGUGUGGUUAUCGUUGGACCAGGAUUCAGGAUCUGACCGAGUAGCUGACUCUUAAUCCAGUUUGUGUUGAUCACCAGGAGGAUCUGGACCUCAGUGUUAUCACAUCUAAAGGUCAAGGAAGCUUUUCCUGAUCCACUAAGGACAAUCAAACCCUUCAUGAUCUAGAAUCUGGAGACUGUGUCUUCUGGGAAUAGUAUCAGAGAAAGACUGCCCUUACUGCCCACAUGUAGCAAAACUUUGAGACGUUGAAUUAUGGGUCCAUAAUCUCACAACUCAGAGGGGCACCUCUAGACUCUUGGAACUGCAUAUCUAUUGGAGACUUUAAGGUAAAGCUGAACAGAGACGUUUUUCUCCAGAAGCAGACAGCACCAUAGUCAUGGACAGCUUUCCCAAGAUCACAGAUCAAGACUUCUGUGCCGUCAUGAGACUCAUACCUCUUAAUUUUUUCUUGCUUAUGCUUCUGUGAACAAUAGAAUUGGAAAAGGGGUGGUCCCGCGUGCACCCAUAGGGUAUACUUUUAUUUGUGGAGGAUUUUGCUGCCAACCUUAUACAUGGGCAAACUUAUGCCUUCAUGGAUGGAAGAUAAAGGGCUAAUAUGGGUUAGAAAUUUUAAUGGUACCUUUGUUUCUCCAUAAUCAUUCAGAAACAGAACACUGGUCCACUCUUGUUAACCUACAUCAUAGGUUGAAGAGAACAUUGCCAGGAGGUCUUCAUCCUUCCAGAUGGGCACCAUUUGUUGGGUCUUUUUCCAUGGUAUGAAGAAAAUGAAGCAAUGAUUAGAAAUUGGUCCCUCGGCCGGGCACAAUGGCUCAUGCCUGUAAUCCCAUCACUUUGGCAGGCCGACGCGGGUGGAUCACCUGAGGUCAGGAGUUUGAGACCAGCCUGACCAAUGUGGUGAAACCCCAUCUCUACUAAAAAUACAAAAAUUAGCUGGGUGUGAUGGUGCACACCUGUAAUCCAGCUACUCGGGAGGCUGAGACAGGAGAAUUGCUUGAACCUGGGAGGCAGAGGUUGCAGUGAGCCAAGAUCACCCCACUGCAUUCCAGGUUGGGCAACAGAGCAAGACUCUGUCUCAAAAAAAAAAGAAGAAAGAAAGAAAUUGAUCCCUCAUAAUAGGCUGUAUAGCAGAUUCUACUGCAAAGGCUAUGGUUGCACAACAGCCUUCUUUGAAUUUGCUUGCUAAACUUUUACUGGAUAAUAGAAUUGCCUCCAAAAGUGCUGGGAUUACAGGUGUGAGCCACUGUGCCCAGCCUCUCCUGUUUAAUUGUAUUCAUUCUAAUGUUUACUUACUUCUUUAAUUUGUAAAAUUGGGUCACUUAGAGUUUUUUAGCCUAUCUUACCAUUUAGCCACUAUUACUGAUAAUUUGGAUGGAAAAGAAAAAUAAAUUAUAUCACCUCUCAUCUUCAGUGUAUAUAUGUGUUAGCUUAGUAAAUAUAGUAUUCUUUCUCGUUCCUAAUGAAAAUGUAGUUUAC